rnacentral:lncRNA from 1 species
GCAUGCUAGGGUUUUCAUAAAACCUAUCACAUAUUAUACUAUUAGUUUUCAUAAACUUUGGGGGUUAGUAUGUUGUGGAAUAACUAUGUUUGUAUUACUUAUGUUGAUGCACAAAAUCAGCGAGGACUUUGGUACAACAGAAAAUGUUAAGUUUGUGACCUUCGUUAGAUUGCUCACGUCACUAGUAUUGAUAAGUAUGUAAAUGGAUAGAGACAGGGAAGCAAACACAAGAUGUACGUGGUUCACCCAGAUUGGCUACGUCCACGGAGUAGAGGAGUUCUCAUUAAUUGUGAAGGGUUUACAUAAGUACAUAGGUUCAAGCUCUCAUUUAGUGAGUACAAGUGAAUGAUUUAGUACAAAUGACAUUAGGAAAUAU